GACGUAGGGUGCGAGCGUUGUCCGGAUUUAUUGGGCGUAAAGAGCUCGUAGGCGGCUCGUCGCGUCAGCUGUGAAAAACCCGGAGCUUAACUGUGGGCUUGCAGCUGAUACGGGCGGGCUAGAGUUCGGUAGGGGAGACUGGAAUUCCUGGUGUAGCGGUGAAAUGCGCAGAUAUCAGGAGGAACACCGGUGGCGAAGGCGGGGUCUCUGGGGCCGAUACUGACGCUUGAGGGAGCGAAAAGCGUGGGGGGAGCGAAACAGG
rnacentral:rRNA from 1 species